GACGAACGCUGGCGGCGUGCUUAACACAUGCAAGUCGAACGGAAAGGCCCUGCUUUUGUGGGGUGCUCGCGUGGCGCACGGGUGAGUAACACGUGAGUAACCUGCCCUUGACUUUGGGAUAACUUCAGGCAACUGGGGCUACUACCGGCUAGGAGCUCCUGCUGCAUGGUGGGGUUCGGACCGUUUCGGCGGUUGGGGGUGGACUCGCGGCUUAUCAGCUUGUUGGUGGGGUAGUUGCUUACCAAGGCUUUGACGGGUAGCCGGCCUGAGAGGGUGACCGGCCACAGUGGGACUGAGAUACGGCCCAGACUCCUACGGGAGGCAGCAGUGGGGAAUAUUGCACAAUGGGCGGAAGCCUGAUGCAGCAACGCCGCGUGCGGGAUGACGGCCUUCGGGUUGUAAACCGCUUUCGCCUGUGACGAAGCGUGAGUGACGGUAAUGGGUAAAGAAGCACCGGCUAACUACGUG
rnacentral:rRNA from 1 species